rfam:Trichoderma gamsii strain T6085 Scaffolds0079.1, whole genome shotgun sequence.
GCCCGGUUAGCUCAAUCGGUAGAGCGUGAGACUCUUAAGACACACGUUCUGUAAUCUCAAGGUUGCGGGUUCGACCCCCGCAUUGGGCU